UUCCAGCGGUGGAAUCUCACGUGCAGAGCAAUAAGCACAGAGACUAGCGAAGGCCGCCAGCAGCCCGCGGGGCUAGCUGCUGCUCCGCCGCUAGCUCCUGCUCCGCCGCAAGCUCCUGCUCCGCCGCUAGCUCCUGCUCCGCCGCCGGCAACGACGUCAACUACAACGCUGGAGGUCACCGGAGGAAAUCCAGCGCCGUGCAACAAAGAGCUCAUCACCGAAGACCAACGCUGCAGUGCGUUCUUCAUUCUGUUCCACGAGACUCUGGACCAGACCACCGCGAGCAGACAGCUGGACUUCAUGUGUGCUAUUGGUGAAACGACCAGGUCCCGUCAGGAUCCUGUGGAGCUCAUGGGCCAUGACACCGCCCAGGACCUACUUCAGCAUCUCAAAGAGAAUGGACCAAAUGUCAACUGGAAGUUUUUGUAUUCAUACAGUUUGAAAAGGAUUGUUUUCCUAGUAUAUUCACAAAAGCUCAGGAAUAGACGUUUGAACCUGUGACACACACCCAUCACAUAGAGACAUGAGAACUCACUCGCUUGCUCACUCACUCACUCACACACACACACACAUUAUAUUAUGUAAAUGUAUUUGCAUUUUAAAAGCAGCUGGAAAUGUUAUUUAUGUUAUUUUAUAGAUUUUUUUGUUCAAAAGGAACUAUGUUGCACGUAUUUUAAAAAUAUAUUUACUUGAUUUUAUAGACAUUUGUUCAUGGGACCUAAAUGUUCUGAAAAUGUUGUAUUAAUAAAUAUAAUUUACAACAGCAAUGACA